rnacentral:lncRNA from 1 species
AAGCAAUUUUAUACUAAGAUGGGAGGAAAGUACUCUGUGAUCAAAGAUUUAACAAGAGACGAUCAAGUUCAUAAGAAUCCAUAUCGAAGCAAUUAUGGUUAUCAGCCAAACACAAGAUACGAUGAUGGCAGAAGUUCUGUUACAGAGGAGACCUAUUCCCUUUCUGAUACUUCUGAAGUUAUUAAAGAGAAUCCUGAUGACUAUGUU